GAUGAACGCUGGCGGCGUGCCUAAUACAUGCAAGUCGAGCGAACAGACGAGGAGCUUGCUCCUCUGACGUUAGCGGCGGACGGGUGAGUAACACGUGGAUAACCUACCUAUAAGACUGGGAUAACUUCGGGAAACCGGAUCUAAUACCGGAUAAUAUAUUGAACCGCAUGGUUCAAUAGUGAAAGACGGUUUUGCUGUCACUUAUAGAUGGAUCCGCGCCGCAUUAGCUAGUUGGUAAGGUAACGGCUUACCAAGGCAACGAUGCGUAGCCGACCUGAGAGGGUGAUCGGCCACACUGGAACUGAGACACGGUCCAGACUCCUACGGGAGGCAGCAGUAGGGAAUCUUCCGCAAUGGGCGAAAGCCUGACGGAGCAACGCCGCGUGAGUGAUGAAGGUCUUCGGAUCGUAAAACUCUGUUAUUAGGGAAGAACAAAUGUGUAAGUAACUAUGCACGUCUUGACGGUACCUAACCAGAAAGCCACGGCUAACUACGUG
rnacentral:rRNA from 1 species